GAUGAACGCUGGCGGCGUGCUUAACACAUGCAAGUCGAACGGGAUCCAUCAAGCUUGCUUGGUGGUGAGAGUGGCGAACGGGUGAGUAAUGCGUGACCGACCUGCCCCAUACACCGGAAUAGCUCCUGGAAACGGGUGGUAAUGCCGGAUGCUCCAGUUGAUCGCAUGGUCUUCUGGGAAAGCUUUCGCGGUAUGGGAUGGGGUCGCGUCCUAUCAGCUUGACGGCGGGGUAACGGCCCACCGUGGCUUCGACGGGUAGCCGGCCUGAGAGGGCGACCGGCCACAUUGGGACUGAGAUACGGCCCAGACUCCUACGGGAGGCAGCAGUGGGGAAUAUUGCACAAUGGGCGCAAGCCUGAUGCAGCGACGCCGCGUGAGGGAUGGAGGCCUUCGGGUUGUAAACCUCUUUUAUCGGGGAGCAAGCGAGAGUGAGUUUACCCGUGAAUAAGCACCGG
rnacentral:rRNA from 1 species